GGAACAUUGAACGCAGCACAGACUAAUCAGUAGAUUGCAAACACCUGGGAUUUUUAAAACCAGCAAGAAGUGAAGAAUCUUCUAAACUUCUCUGUCAUCAUCUGUGACAUUUGGGUCCUCCUCAUCAGAUGUGCGGUCCUCUUGAAGGUCACAUUGAGUCUCGUACUGAUCCUCAGAGACUUCCCCUUCAGCUUCACUUUCCUCCAUCUCUUCAGGAUCAUGACCGAAGAUGUGCUUCAUCCAGAUGGAACUGGGGGACGGCUGGGGGCGCGAGACGAGCUGGAGGCGAGGUCCACAGCCAAGGACAGGAGCACAGACGAGCCAAAUGGAAACUGUAAAAACAUUUCAUCAUUCAUCAUACAUUCAUUCAUCUUCU